GCCCUGACUCCAUCUUCUCCUUGCUGAAUCCUGACUUCACCUUUCUGUAUUUGCAGUCCUACUGUGACUUGAAGAAAGAGUGAGAUGCUCUCCACCUGCACUUGGAAGACAACAGGAACAAUGAUGAGGACCACAAGUGUCGCCAGUCCCAACUGAAGAGGAAGUGUCAGGUCCUUGUGAUAGAGAAAGCAGCCUUGAAGCUCCAGAUGAAGAAGCUUGAGACAUCCAGGUUCCUGCCACAACAAGUGCACGCUUUGAGGGAGAAGCAGGACCUGCAUCAGGUCCAGGAGCCAGACACCUGCUUGGCUG